rnacentral:lncRNA from 1 species
UAUGGAAUUCUAAGAACACCGACAUGUAGGGUCCAUGGGUUAGUGGGACACCAUAGUCCAAAAUUUUCACCGAGCGCCAACUCUGCCGCCAAAGCCAAAAACAUUUCUCGCAAAAUGUCCCUUGUAAUCUCAAGCAAUAAACACACCGCUACCCCAUCCAUCAAGGGUAUUUGUGACAAUCUCACUCCACGCCCCAUAUCCCUUGCCCCUUAUCUAUCCCUUCGCUCAGAUCCGCCUCCACCUCUCGCCUUUCCCCUCCACCUCUCACCUUUCACCUCUGCACUAGCACUCGACCCC